rnacentral:rRNA from 1 species
AUGGAGGGUCUCCCAGAGCCACUGCUUGGAGAGAUCGUCAAGAGGAUUACCAAGACAAGUGAUCUUAAUUCUCUUUCCCUCGUGUCGAAGCAGCUCUCCACCAUCGAGGCGGAGCACAGGGUUGCUAUCCGUGUUGGCUGUGGACUCAAUCCUUCAACAGAAGCCUUGGUAUCGCUGUUUUCCCGGUUCCCCAAUUUGGCAAAAGUAGAGAUCAAUUACUCUGGGUCGAAGUCCAGUAACGUGGACCAGUUGAACAACCAAGGCCUACUUGUUUUAUCAUCUCACUGCUCCUUGCUGUCCGAUCUUGCUUUAAGCUUCUGCUCAAACAUCGAUGACACUGGUCUAGGUUAUCUAGCUGAGUGCAAAAAAUUGAGGUCCCUCAGGCUGAACCAUGCACCAGCAGUCACUUCUACUGGGAUUCUUCGGGUGGCGGUUGGUUGCAGGUAUCUUUCGGUUCUCCACCUUGUUGACUGUACAGCAGUAGACAGCGGGGAGUGGCUGGAGUACCUUAGGAGGUAUGGAUCACUGGGGGAACUUGUUGUAAAGGAUUGCGAUGGUAUCAGCCAGUAUGACCUCUUAAAGUUUGGCCCAGGAUGGUUGAAUCUCCAAAAGUUUGAGUUCGAGAUUAAUGGAAAUUACUGGGUGCCAGGGGCCCGUGAUCCCUCCUACGUGUCUGGCUACCCAUAUAGCUAUGACAUCUGCUGUGAUAAUCUGAAGGAUCUUAGGCUGGCUCAUAUAAUAACUGAGCCAGAAAUUGGACUUCGUUUUCUCUUGGGGAAGUGCAAAGCAUUGGAGACACUUUACCUGGAGUAUGUUAUUGGUCUAAAUGAGAAUGAGAUGAUUGCACUAUUCCAGAGGUGCAGCAACCUUAAAACCAUCUCACUUCGUCUCAUGCCUCUGCGAUGUGAAGAUGGUGAGUUUAGGACGCCAUUGACUGAUGCUAGCCUUAAGGCUCUAGCUCUUAGCUGCCCUAUGCUUCAGGUUAUUGAGCUCACCUUCACAUUUUGCGAUCCCAUUUAUCCUACUGAAAUAGGCUUCACACAAGAGGGUAUUGUAACGCUCAUCCAAUCAUGUCCGAUUCGUGCUCUUGUUCUAAAUGGUGCCAGCAUUUUUUAUGACGAGGGGAUGAAGGGCCUCUCAUCCUCACAGUUUCUGGAGAAGCUCGAGCUCGUGGAUUGCAGGUCUAUAACUGAUGCUGGUAUGAACUUGAUUAUACAGGCUCCUCGCUUGAGCAGUCUCACGCUCCGCAAAUGUAAGAGAGUGACAGAUGAUGGAAUGGCUGCCUUGGCACGUGCACAGAAGCUGGAGUGGCUGACCGUUAUAAGCUGCCGCCGGAUCUCUCAGGAAGGCGCGCAGAGAGCUGCCAAAUCAGUUCAUUACUCUGCGGAGGCUGAAAGCCAUGACAGCCUAAAAGGAAUGAUCGCCAAAAGUAGGGCUGGAAUUCGAGCCGAGUCGAGCAAGCUCGGCUCGACUCGCUAG